UGACCUCAAAUCAGGUAUGA
rnacentral:rRNA from 1 species